rnacentral:lncRNA from 1 species
ACCAGCCCUUCUAAGGACAUUGAGGAUUUCUUCUCUCUGUUUUUCCCUCAUCAUCUUCUAAUUAUAACAUAGAGGUCAAAACUAAAGUGGUAAAAAGGAGGUAAGAAGAGAAAGUAGGAGCCGUAAAUGGAAAUACCCAAGGAAGGACUGAGAGGUAUAUAACCUCAGAGGAAACAAGCUCUACAUGUUUCUAUGCUUUCACCUAAAACGAGACAUCAGCAAGAAUCCCGCUCCUCCUGGAUACACCAGUUUUGGAUGUCAAACCGAAUACUCUAUUAUCUCUACAGAUCACGCUGACUCUUCACACUGUGGAACAUUUCAACUUCCUCUCCAACUGGCCUCAGGCGGCUGUCGGACUGGUGAACCUGUCUGGGGUAGACACAUCUCCCU